UGAGAUUAAAGGCCGAGUGCUGGG
rnacentral:piRNA from 1 species